UUUGGCCUAAGCGUCCGUAGCCGGCCCGGUAAGUCCUUCGUUAAAUCUGACGAUUCAAUCGUUAGACCGCGGAAGAUACUGCUGGGCUAGAGGAUGGGAGAGGUCGACGGUAGUCCUGGUGUAGGGGUGAAAUCCUAUAAUCCCAGGAGGACCACCAGUGGCGAAGGCGGUCGACUAGAACAUGCCUGACGGUGAUGGACGAAAGCUGGGGGAGCGAACCGGAUUAGACACCCGGGUAGUCCCAGCUGUAAACGAUGCGGGCUAGGUGUUGGAACAGCCACGAGCUGCUCCAGUGCCGCAGAAAAGUUGUUAAGCCCGCCGCCUGGGAAGUACGGCCGCAAGGCUGAAACUUAAAGGAAUUGGCGGGGGAGCACAAGC
rnacentral:rRNA from 1 species